UUUACCGCCCAUGGAACUCUUCUUCGCCUCACCUGCCCAUACACCUCCCAACAAAAUGGCAAGGCCGAACGUAUCCUUCGUACACUCAAUGAUGGUGUCCGCACUCUCCUUAUACAUGCAUCCAUGCCAUACCCAUGGUGGGCUGAGGCUCUCGCCACCUCCACAUACCUUCUCAAUCGCCGCCCAUGCAAAGCCAACAUCAUUACCACUUCCUACGAGCUUCUUCACGGUCGUGCCCCCGAUUUUAAGUCUCUUCGCGUGUUUGGCUGCCUGUGCUAUCCCAAUCUUACUGCCACCGCACCUCACAAACUCGCACCCCGUUCUACUCCUUGCGUUUUUCUCGGCUAUCCGGACGGGCGCAAAGGGUAUCGCUGCUAU
rnacentral:rRNA from 1 species